rnacentral:rRNA from 1 species
AUUGAACGCUGGCGGCAGGCCUAACACAUGCAAGUCGAACGAGUGGCGGACGGGUGAGUAAUGUCUGGGAAUCUGCCUGAUGGAGGGGGAUAACUACUGGAAACGGUAGCUAAUACCGCAUACCAUCGGAUGUGCCCAGAUGGGUUUAGCUAGUAGGUGGGGUAAAGGCUCACCAAGGCGACGAUCCCUAGCUGGUCUGAGAGGAUGACCAGCAACACGGGAACGGAGACACGGUCCAGACUCCUACGGGAGGCAGCAGUGGGGAAUAUUGCACAAUGGGCGAAAGCCUGAUGCAGCAAUGCCGCGUGUAUGAAGAAGGGCUUCGGAUUGUAAAGUACUUUCAGCGGGGAGGCGUUACCCACAGAAGAAGCACCGGCUAACUCCGUGCCAGCAGCCGCGGUAAUAC